GAUGAACGCUGGCGGCGUGCCUAAUACAUGCAAGUCGAGCGAACAGACGAGGAGCUUGCUCCUCUGACGUUAGCGGCGGACGGGUGAGUAACACGUGGAUAACCUACCUAUAAGACUGGGAUAACUUCGGGAAACCGGAGCUAAUACCGGAUAAUAUAUUGAACCGCAUGGUUCAAUAGUGAAAGACGGUUUUGCUGUCACUUAUAGAUGGAUCCGCGCCGCAUUAGCUAGUUGGUAAGGUAACGGCUUACCAAGGCAACGAUGCGUAGCCGACCUGAGAGGGUGAUCGGCCACACUGGAACUGAGACACGGUCCAGACUCCUACGGGAGGCAGCAGUACGGAAUCUUGCGCAAUGGGCGUAAACCUUACGGAGCAACGCCGCGUGAGUUAUGAAAGUCUUCGGAUCGUAAUACACUGUUACUAGGGAAGAACAAAUGUGUAAGUUACUAUGCACGUCUUGACGGUACCUAAUCAGAAAGCCACGGCUAACUACGUG
rnacentral:rRNA from 1 species